rnacentral:rRNA from 1 species
AGUCGAGCGAGCUUGCCUAGAUGAAUUUGGUGCUUGCACCAGAUGAAACUAGAUACAAGCGAGCGGCGGACGGGUGAGUAACACGUGGGUAACCUGCCCAAGAGACUGGGAUAACACCUGGAAACAGAUGCUAAUACCGGAUAACAACACUAGACGCAUGUCUAGAGUUUAAAAGAUGGUUCUGCUAUCACUCUUGGAUGGACCUGCGGUGCAUUAGCUAGUUGGUAAGGUAACGGCUUACCAAGGCAAUGAUGCAUAGCCGAGUUGAGAGACUGAUCGGCCACAUUGGGACUGAGACACGGCCCAAACUCCUACGGGAGGCAGCAGUAGGGAAUCUUCCACAAUGGACGCAAGUCUGAUGGAGCAACGCCGCGUGAGUGAAGAAGGGUUUCGGCUCGUAAAGCUCUGUUGGUAGUGAAGAAAGAUAGAGGUAGUAACUGGCCUUUAUUUGACGGUAAUUACUUAGAAAGUCACGGCUAACUACGUGCCAGCAGCCGCGGUAAUACGUAGGUGGCAAGCGUUGUCCGGAUUUAUUGGGCGUAAAGCGAGUGCAGGCGGUUCAAUAAGUCUGAUGUGAAAGCCUUCGGCUCAACCGGAGAAUUGCAUCAGAAACUGUUGAACUUGAGUGCAGAAGAGGAGAGUGGAACUCCAUGUGUAGCGGUGGAAUGCGUAGAUAUAUGGAAGAACACCAGUGGCGAAGGCGGCUCUCUGGUCUGCAACUGACGCUGAGGCUCGAAAGCAUGGGUAGCGAACAGGAUUAGAUACCCUGGUAGUCCAUGCCGUANACGAUGAGUGCUAAGUGUUGGGAGGUUUCCGCCUCUCAGUGCUGCAGCUAACGCAUUA